GCAUAUCAAUAAGCGGAGGAAAAGAAACCAACAGGGAUUGCCCUAGUAACGGCGAGUGAAGCGGCAACAGCUCAAAUUUGAAAUCUGGCGUCUUCGGCGUCCGAGUUGUAAUUUGCAGAGGGCGCUUUGGCAUUGGCAGCGGUCCAAGUUCCUUGGAACAGGACGUCACAGAGGGUGAGAAUCCCGUACGUGGUCGCUAGCCUUUACCGUGUAAAGCCCCUUCGACGAGUCGAGUUGUUYGGGAAUGCAGCUCUAAAUGGGAGGUAAAUUUCUUCUAAAGCUAAAUACUGGCCAGAGACCGAUAGCGCACAAGUAGAGUGAUCGAAAGAUGAAAAGCACUUUGGAAAGAGAGUUAAAAAGCACGUGAAAUUGUUGAAAGGGAAGCGCUUGCAGCCAGACUUGCCUGUAGUUGCUCAUCCGGGUUUCUACCCGGUGCACUCUUCUACGGGCAGGCCAGCAUCAGUUUGGGCGGUUGGAUAAAGGUCUCUGUCAUGUACCUCCUUUCGGGGAGAACUUAUAGGGGAGACGACAUGCAACCAGCCCGGACUGAGGUCCGCGCAUCUGCUAGGAUGCUGGCGUAAUGGCUGUAAGCGGCCCGUCUUGAAACACGGACCAAGGAGUCUAACAUCUAUGCGAGUGUUUGGGUGUCAAGCCCGAACGCGUAAUGAAAGUGAACGGAGGUGGGAACCUUUCGGGGUGCACCAUCGACCGAUCCUGAUGUCUUCGGAUGGAUUUGAGUAAGAGCAUAGCUGUUGGGACCCGAAAGAUGGUGAACUAUGCUUGAAUAGGGUGAAGCCAGAGGAAACUCUGGUGGAGGCUCGCAGCGGUUCUGACGUGCAAAUCGAUCGUCAAAUUUGGGCAUAGGGGCGAAAGACUAAUCGAAC
rnacentral:rRNA from 1 species